AGUGGAUUGUCAGAACCUUCUCCAGGGAUCUUCCGACUCAGGAAUCGAACCCGAGUCUCCCGCAUUGCGGGCAGGCGCUUACCGUCUGAGCCACCAGGGAGUUUGCUAGGAGAUCCUCAAUACUUCUAUUAUUUCACAACCGCCUGGCCCGCCCGAUGGCUGAACAUAGAACUCAGCUCCCACACCCCAGGGCGCAGCUGGAGGUCCAGCAGACAGCUGCAGCCCUGCUCACUGCCCUGCGGGUCCCCACCAGCCCCUCCUCCCCGUCACCAGGCAGUAGGCCGCUUACGCGCCUCUCCUCUUGGCGGCGGCUCUUGGCUGAGGGCUGCCCGCAGCAGGGACACCCAGCUCCAGCAGCAGGGGCGGCGCGGGGCGGCCGGGCCAGAGGCGCCGGGCUCAGCGGGAGGCUGGGGUUUCGGGCGUCUCGGAGAAGCGGAUGAGCGGGGAUGGGGCGGCUCGGUGGGGGCAGGGUGGGCAGCGACGAGCGGGCGGUGUUGGCGAGGCUGUUCCACGCGCUCUCGGCCAGCCCCGGGGUUGCAGGUCCCGCCGAGGCCCAGCGAGGCGAGCAGGGCGGUGCCGCGCAAUAGCGCGUUGGAUCAGUUUGGGCGCCCCGAGCCACUGCCGCGUUCGGUCGGGCCCGGCCGCCGGGCUCCUCGGGCUCCGGGCUCGGCCGCGGGAGGUUACCUGGCGGCGGGUACACAGGUUAGGCCGACUUCCGGCGGCCCUGAAGCAAGGGCUGACUUCUGCUCCCCUGACUCCCCAGUCCAAGUCCUCCCUCGGCAUCCCCAUUCUGGCUUUUCAGAAGUGUUGGGGUGGAGGAGGGCAGUGCAACCUUUGAAAGCAGCAGGAGCUAAGCCAGGUGCCCUGGGGCCCACGAAAGGAGGGCUGGCUGGAGGGAAGGCCGAGGGUCCACCAAGAAGCAAGCUCAAGCCAGAGCAGGGCCGGCCUCAGUGCCCUCAAUGGGCAGCAGAAGAUAUCCACAGGGGCCAGAGUCACAGCUGGGACCCGUGCGGUGCCCAUCUCGUCCCUGGUUGGGCAGCCCUGGUCCUUCUACUUGCCUGCUCUGGCCUCCAGUGGUAA
rnacentral:lncRNA from 1 species